GGAUUAGAUACCCUGGUAGUCCACGCUGUAAACGAUGGUUACUAGCUGUUUGGACUUCGGUCUGAGUGGCUAAGCGAAAGUGAUAAGUAACCCACCUGGGGAGUACGAUCGCAAGAUUGAAACUCAAAGGAAUUGACGGGGGCCCGCACAAGCGGUGGAGCAUGUGGUUUAAUUCGAUGAUACGCGAGGAACCUUACCAGGGCUUAAAUGUGGAUUGACAGGGGCAGAGACGCCUUUUUCUUCGGACAAUUCACAAGGUGCUGCAUGGUUGUCGUCAGCUCGUGCCG
rnacentral:rRNA from 1 species